rnacentral:rRNA from 1 species
GCUUGGCCCUAAACCUCAGCAGUUAGAUAACAAAACUACUCGCCAGAAUACUACAAGCAACAGCUUAAAACUCAAAGGACUUGACGGUGCUUUACAUCCCCCUAGAGGAGCCUGUUCCGUAAUCGAUAAACCCCGAUCCACCCCACCCUCUCUUGCUCAGCCUAUAUACCGCCAUCUUCAGCAAACCCUAAUGAAGGCUACAAAGUGAGCGCAAACGCCACUGCCGCGAAUACGUUAGGUCAAGGUGUAGCCCAUGAGACGGUAAAAAAUGGGCUACAUUUUCUAUUUCAGAAAACCCCACGAAAACCCUUAUGAAACUUAAGGGUCCAAGGAGGAUUUAGCAGUAAAUUAAGAAUAGAGUGCUUAAUUGAACCAGGCCAUAAAGCGCG